CAGUCGAGCGGACAGAUGGGAGCUUGCUCCCUGAUGUUAGCGGCGGACGGGUGAGUAACACGUGGGUAACCUGCCUGUAAGACUGGGAUAACUCCGGGAAACCGGGGCUAAUACCGGAUGGUUGUCUGAACCGCAUGGUUCAGACAUAAAAGGUGGCUUCGGCUACCACUUACAGAUGGACCCGCGGCGCAUUAGCUAGUUGGUGAGGUAACGGCUCACCAAGGCGACGAUGCGUAGCCGACCUGAGAGGGUGAUCGGCCACACUGGGACUGAGACACGGCCCAGACUCCUACGGGAGGCAGCAGUAGGGAAUCUUCCGCAAUGGACGAAAGUCUGACGGAGCAACGCCGCGUGAGUGAUGAAGGUUUUCGGAUCGUAAAGCUCUGUUGUUAGGGAAGAACAAGUGCCGUUCAAAUAGGGCGGCACCUUGACGGUACCUAACCAGAAAGCCACGGCUAACUACGUGCCAGCAGCCGCGGUAAUACGUAGGUGGCAAGCGUUGUCCGGAAUUAUUGGGCGUAAAGGGCUCGCAGGCGGUUUCUUAAGUCUGAUGUGAAAGCCCCCGGCUCAACCGGGGAGGGUCAUUGGAAACUGGGGAACUUGAGUGCAGAAGAGGAGAGUGGAAUUCCACGUGUAGCGGUGAAAUGCGUAGAGAUGUGGAGGAACACCAGUGGCGAAGGCGACUCUCUGGUCUGUAACUGACGCUGAGGAGCGAAAGCGUGGGGAGCGAACAGGAUUAGAUACCCUGGUAGUCCACGCCGUAAACGAUGAGUGCUAAGUGUUAGGGGGUUUCCGCCCCU
rnacentral:rRNA from 2 species